rnacentral:tRNA from 1 species
GUUCUUGUAGUUGAAUAACAACGGUGGUUUUUCGAGCCAUUGGUCUUGGUUAGAAUCCUGGCAAGAAUU